rnacentral:rRNA from 1 species
UGGGGAAUAUUGGACAAUGGGCGAAAGCCUGAUCCAGCGACGCCGCGUGUCGGAAGGAGUCCUUCGGGAUGUAAACGACUUUUGGUGGAGACGAAUAAGCAGCUCAGGGAAUGGGGCUGUGAUGACGGUAUCCAUGGAAUAAGCCCCGGCUAACUACGUGCCAGCAGCCGCGGUAAGACGUAGGGGGCAAGCGUUACCCGGAAUUACUGGGCGUAAAGGGAGCGUAGGCGGGAGGUCAAGUCCGGUGUGAAAGACCCUGGCUCAACCAGGGAUGAGGCUGGAAACUGACAAUCUUGAGUACAGCAGAGGAAGAGGGAAUUACCGGUGUAGGGGUGAAAUCCGUAGAGACCGGUAAGAAGGCCAGUGGCGAAGGCGCUUUUCUGGGCUGUUACUGACGCUGAGGCUCGAAAGCCAGGGGAGCAAACCG